GGCGGUAGCGAGCGACACUCCGCAGGAUUUCAUGGAAACGCAGCGAAUUCACAACUCCAACGCCGACACCCCCCCUCUCCGGGCCGGAGCCCGCAAGGACGCCUCCAAUCUCCGCACAAGACCGGCACACCAACUUUAUUUCUGCCUCCUCCUCUGCCGCGAGAGGCGGCAGCGAAAAAUCCUAACGCGGUAGAGGUGAAGGCAGAGGCAGCAGAGGCUGUGGAACCACUGGGUCCGGAGCGGCGACGGCUCGGCUGUAGGGUCACAUCGCGGGGAUGGGAAGGGGGCAGCCACAGGCAGGGUCGGCGGGAAUGGCCGGAGCGCGCGAGGAGCGGGAGCUCUGGGGGGGAUUCGUAGGAGACACAAACUUCCCCGGCACCAGCACAAAGUUGUUGUAAUUGUGUCACACAGCGAACCCCACGCCGCUGCCGUGACCCCCCCCUCACAGCCCGCUCGGCGCAGCCAACCAGAGCAGCCCCUCGCCUCACGUGACCUUUGUUGACUCGCGUCAGUCGUGGCUCCACUUAACUUGCUAGCUGCUUUAGCCCCGCCCACCGAGGCCGCCACAGAUCCGAGAGCGGGAUGCUCGCCAGUUCUGGUCGGUGGUUGGCUGAUAGGCACGUCUGUCCGGAGUAGGGUUGUCACCCAGUGGGAGCAGCCGGUUAGGUUGUGCUACUUAAAUACACAGGCAGAGAAUGGAGGGGUCCAGGCUGUGUCCCUUCGGGAGCCGUGGUGGGAUCGGGGGGGGGAGGGGAGUGCUCAGUCUGGGCGAGGUCCGGCACCGCCUGUAGCGAGCGCCAACGAGAAAGCCUAGGACAGCCUCUGGCUGCCCGGAAGCCCUAGGGUGGGCCAAGACUGUGAUUUCGGUGGUCCUGCUAGCGCUCGCGCACUCCGGGAAUAUCGAUCCCGACAGGGCUGGACACCAGCUGAGUCGCGGGGAGGGAACACUCGGCCCCAGACCUCUGCCCUCGGAAGAAGGCGCACUGCUAGAAAUAAUAGCCUCCACGAGGAGUGCGCCAGAGGAGCAGCAGCCGGCUUCAUACCCUGCAGCCUGGGCGCCGCCCUAGACAAGGCCACGCGAAGCCCCAUACCCUUUCAAAAGGGGAAGGGGAAAACGUCUCCCGACCCCCGCCCACUCACCCCAGGCAGGGAGGAAUGAAGAGUCAGUCGCCUGCAGGGGGUCUGGCGCGCUGGCUCCCGCACCCCACCGCCAAAGGUCUGUCUGUUGGCAGCACUUUCGGGCCAGAUAUUCCUGCUGCUUGCAUAUACCCUACGCCCUAGCAGUAAUUCGUUAUACUAUAAAGAAAAAAACAGAAACAGUGAAAUUUGUCGAGGGGGAUUUCAGAAUGUUGGGUUCUGUUGCUGUCAUCUCAGUGGGUACUCCAUGGAAGAGUAGGAGCUGUAUGUGAACUGGCCUUAGAGAAAUAGAAUCCUCAACACAGCUUCCUGCCAGCCUUUUUCUGCUUCCACUACAUAGGAAACCCUUAGCAGUAACAUUUGCUUGUUCUGUCCCUCAGGUACAAAUAAGUCUGGUGUUUGACCCAUAGUAUAAUCAGGAGAUAGACCAAACUUUCCAUCGACUAUUUUGAAAAGGCAGAUAUAAUGUGAUGUAUCUCAUCACACCUCCAGUCUUUGGGAUAGAAAAUAUUAGUAAAUGGACUAUAUGAAGAAAAGAUCCGUUUAUAAACCAAGCUUUAUAUGUUUUAUAUAAGUUUACACCUGUAAUCAAUAGGGUAUAUUUAAAUUUAGAUUUCAGAAUAUAUAAGUGCUGAGUCAGUAAAUCCUAGCUGUGUUCUUCAAUGAGAGACUAUAAAAGUCCCAACUAAUUUUGCAGACAGACAGAGCUUUAAAUUGUUGCCUGGAGACUAGUAACUAGAUGAAUAAACUAGUUUUGUAUGGAUUAUAUUUCGUGUUUAAUUACACUUUUACAAAACAUGUUCUAUGGUGUUCUAUUUUACUUGACUGAGUGAGUACCAGAGACUGAAUAUUUUCUAUAGCUAAAUUAACAUACGAAUUGUUAAAUGUCACAAAUGGUGACCUUCAAAACCUGGGAGAUUUUUGGCCCCACUACCACAUGGACACUUGCACAAACAGAAAUCAAACCUGUCAGUAUUUGGCCACGUCCCCAAAGUUACUGGUUCCUGAUUUAGUCCCUUUCCAAGAAUGAUAUAAGCAACCCAUGUCUGAGUGCCUUCCUGCCCUUUAAUAAUAAGGUUAGAGUUUUAGAAAUAAAGUGAUAGGGAGGGGUUGGAGUCUAGCUAGCACAGCUGGGUUCUGAUCCUUGUGCAAGCUCUGUGACCUCUAAACCAAAGCUGUUGUUUUUGAUGUGGAGUAAUUCUAGUUUAUUGGGGCACAGGUUUUAUGAAACAGGGUAUUGCUCUGUAGCCCAGGCUGGCCUCUGUGUUCUCCUGCCUCAGACUCCUCAGUUCUGGGAUAAUAGACACGUACAAUCAUGCCUGGCCAAACCAGGCCAACUACAAGGAUUUAUCCUCCAUCAAACAUGCAGUGUCCAUAUAAAAUAAGUCUUACAUGUCUAUGUAAUUUUUUUGGCAUUUACAUAGUUUAGCUGUCAAAUGUAUGUGAAAUAAGCAUGGAGCCUUUCUCAGUCACUGUCAAAAUUAAUGCAAUUUUAAAUUUAUGACAUACAAAAAUGGAAAAAUUUUGUUUUAUAAUAAUUAUUACUAUGGCAGGGCAGUGGUGGCACAUGCCUUUAAUGCCAGCACUUGGGAGGCAGAGGCAGGUGGAUCUAUGAGUUCAAGGCCAGCUUGGACUACAGAGUGAGUUCUAGGACAGCCAGGGCUACACAGGGAAACCGUAUGUCAAUAAUAAUAAUAAUAAUAAUAAUAAUAAUAACUAUGAAAAAAAACCUGGGCUGAUUUAGCUCAGUUGGUAGAGUGCUAGGUUGAAGGUCAUGCUAGGCUACAAAGAAGGGCAUUAAAAUGUAGAAGGCAAAGUGAUAUAAAAAUAGGAGCCUGGUUUGUGUUACAUCAUACAAAUCUAAUCUCUACCACUUUAUGGUGGGGCAACCAACCUUAGUCCCUCAAAAUAUUUGCCAGAUUCCAAAACUGAUUCCUGCAAGUUGUCUUCUGACCUUCACAGGCUUACCAUGACACAAACACAAGCGCAUGUGCACACACACACACACACAAAGUAUAAAAGAAACCACUUAAUGACAUUUUAUAGAUUAGAUGCUAUGGUCAGCAUGGGUGCUCACACCUUUAAUCCCAGCAAUCAAGAGGCAGAGGCAGAUGGAUCUCUGAGUCUGAAGCCAGCUUAGGCUACACAAAGAAACCCUGUCUUGAAAACAAACACAGAGAGAUUAGAUAUUAUAAGAUAAACAAAGUACUAAAUGUGUAAUACAGAAUUCAAAGUCUUAUUAAGACUCAGGGUGUGUUUAGCAUACUCAGGGCCUUUCAAUCUCCAGCAUCAAACAAAAAAAUAAAUUUUAUAAUUUUGAUAUUUGAGAUCUUUUCUUGCUUUCACCUAUGUGGUCUAAAUUGUUUGUUACUACAUUACACUAAGAAUCACUUCCUCCUAGUUUUCACCCUCCCCAUAAGCCCAACCACAAGCAAUCCUAAUUCAUUUUAUGUUUAGGUAUAUAUCUACAGCAUUGGUAUACCUCUCAUUUAUUCGAAAAUGAAAAAAAUUACACCAAAUCUAGAUUUUUUUUUUAUGGUUAUAACAACACAAUAGAAACUGGAGAGCCACCGGGUGUGGUGGCACGUGCCUUUAAUCCCAGCACUCCGGAGGCAGAGGCAGGCAGAUUUCUGAGUUCGAGGCCAGCCUGGUCUACAAAGUGAGUUCCAGGACAGCCAGGGCUAUACAGAGAAACCCAGUCUUGAAAAACCAAAAAAAAAAAAAAAAAAAAAAAAAACCUGGAGAAAAUUUAAUCUGAAUUUGCCAACCUAUAAAACUUGCAUGGGUAAAUCAAUAUUUUAAAACGAUAUAAAAGUUUAUGGACUACUUCAUGUAUAUUUGAAGCAGUAUUACACAUGGUGUAAGUUCCAUCAAUAUAAAACCAGUUACAAGAGAAUAAAUUUAACCUAUUUUAAACAACCAAAUACUUAACCUAAAGCAUUUAAGCAUUUAGAAAAAUAUAGUCCCUGUCUC
rnacentral:lncRNA from 1 species